CAAAUCAAACAUUGACCACACCAUGAAUGACAUACACUGAACAGAAAAACAAGAGACAAACACUGAGUGAAGGAGAGAGGAGUAUAUAUACCAAGGGCACCAGGUGACAGGAGUGAGACAAAUGAGCAAGGAAUCACAAGACACAGGUUAAAGUUCACUGGGGAUUCCUCUGUGCGUUGAGCAGAAUCCAGCUGUCCUCUGCAUCUCCAACGACACCAGUGAUUUACUCAGACGUUUGUGACACAAAUCUGAUUGAACUGGUUAAGAGGAUGGAUAUAAUGGAACAAAUACAGCAAGGUAAGCUUUUACUCAGACAUCUGUGCAGACAAAUUGCCCUAAUGUAAUUUGGACAAUAAAGAACAGCAUGCUAAUGAGGUUACAUGGUCACAUCCCGCCUCCAACAUCUCUUCUCCAACUGUUGUUGGCUGUUCAACCCCAAACCUGUAUCACUGUCCCAUUUCCAGUUACAUAAUAAGCCUUUAGGGGUUUAAAGGAUUUGUUCUGUUAAGAUAAAAAUAAUUCAAUGCAAAAUCUGAAGGUGCUGGACAGCGUAGAAUAUGGUAAUGUCUCUUCUCAUUGUUAGAGCAUAUUGAAUAGACGAGGAGUCACAAUUUUAUACAGACUUAUAUAACCAACAAUGUGUGUUCAUUUGUUGAACCAAGACAUGGCAACAGUUAGCUAAUUCAGUUUAAAUGAAACUUUUAUUACUGUGUUAACUAUGCAGCAUGUUUUAUUUUAUUAUAUUUUUAUGUUAUUAUUUAUUUUAUUCUUUAUUUAUAUAUAGUGAAAUGUUUCAGUCUAGGUGACAGAAAUAUUUGCUUCCUACUUAUACUUGUAUUGGUCUGUAAAAACAAUGUGCAAGCAAAGGUGACAAGUGAUUUUAAUUUUAAUUUUAUUAUUAUCUUUUUAAAAUAGUCCACAACUACUGUAUAAAUCAUGACAAAAUAAUAAAACGAAGUAAAACUUCAUAAUCGCAGUCACAGUGAGUAAUAUAGUCUGUAAAGCCGUACAGUACAGUGACCACAUGCAUGUUAUUUCAGCAGUGUUGUUCAAUACACAGUACAUAUUACAGGCACAGACAUUCCACAUAGUAUUUCGAACAGUUUUUCAGCCUUGUGCGUUGCACACUUCAUGACUAAGGUUUGUCAAAGGCUAUGGUAUGUUUAGCAUAAGGUUUCUUAAGACACCUGCUGUAUGCUAAUGGGUACAGUGACGUUACAAAACAGCGUUGGACAACAUUGAAGCAUUUCUCAAUCAGCAGCACAUUUACAUGAACAUGCGGAAACAUUAUAUUAUAUAACAGUCUUAAUUUUUCCCCCGUUGCUUUUACAGAAGAAUUACCUGAUUAUCUACUGUAAGUAUAACUGAGUAAAGGUCUCCCUUGGCACUGUGACUGAUACAGUAGCUUAUGAAGAAUGUCAGCUUAUAUCAGAAAAACAACAAAUCGUUUCAAUCUUGGUGCCCAGCACUCGGCAGACUAACAUUUACACUGUUAAGUUUAACUGUUGUGUUUCUUCUGCUGCUGUUUACACUGUAAGACAGAAAGAUUGGAAAUGAGGUAUUUGAGGAAAUACAAUAAUGACCAUAAGAGAAGUGGAAAUGAGACUCCUCUCCUCUGUAGCAGCUACAGACUUUGCCCGUCCUCCAUGUGAUGAGAUGAUUAAGAACAUAACAGUUUAAGCCUUGGUGUACAGGAUAAAUAUGGUUUCUCAAGGAAGCACAGAA